rnacentral:lncRNA from 1 species
GAGCCAGCGAGCCACGAGCAUUUUGUCCAGCCCUAGCCUCAGGGGCGGCCGGGCGGGCGCACUCCUCCUCGAGGCUCGUUUCCGCUGCGGCGGAGAGGAAUGGGAAGCGGGCGUCGCCUUCCCUAGCGCUCCCUCGCCGCGCCCGCGGCGGCCUCCCCGGCCCCCUGUAUCUUCUCGAUCCGGUAAGCCCCCGAGUCCCUGAUCCCCAAAUCUAUCGUGGUCCUGAUCUUAAUUUUGGAGCCGUGAUGAGGCGCCAGUGGGAUUAUUUCUUGGUUCACGAGUUCGAUUAGAAGCGUAUUUUUUUUGGUUGGAUUCUGAUCAUGCACGUUUAAUCGUAUAUGGAUGAGUUAAAAGACCUAACGCGGCUCAAUUUAGCUCGCCCUUCGCCAACUGGUAGUAGUGGGUACUGGUAGAUUAGAGCAACUGGGGCUUGGGAAUCGGUUCGAUCACAUCACUCGGGUUUCAGAGACCUAACAAUAACUGACAUCAUUUCUUAUUAGUUUACGUACACGUGGUUCCAUGUCAAGUUGUCAACCAAUCACUUGCGAUUUCAGUUCCUCGUAGACCGCAACUAACGAUUGGUCAGGGCUUCAGGCCAUCCAUCGACCCCAAACCCACGUUCUCUAGAUUCUAUAGUGCAGCUUUGUUUGUUAAUUAUCCUUAAUUAUGAGGGGCCUAGAUUCAGUGCUCAGUUAUGCACCCCAAGUCAAUCUCUCGCAACUAUAUUAUGUGCAUGCAUCUUAAAUAAAUAAAGUCCGGUCCCCUCUGUUUUCAACUGAUGAAUAGAUAAACUAUAGCCUUGCAAAGGAGACUUGGAUUCCGUAUACGUUCCGGUUUUGCAUGUGCAUCUUACCUUUGAACUGAUAGAUGAACAUGCGUAGUUUAAAUCAUAAGAAUUGGUGAGCAGUACUGUUUUGACGUACCUGUUUUCUGACGGGGCAUCCUGCUGCCACUGUACACCGGUAGUAGGCGCGGGGGCACGGGUUCCCCUUGGCUACCUUCUGCCCGUACUUUCUCCAUUGGCAUCCGUCGUUCAUCUGAUCAACAAUCCAAAGCACAUGUUCACGCUGUAGCUACUUCCGAUACAUGCAUAUCAAGCAGACAUCUAUGAUACGUGCAUCUCUGUCGGAUGAAAUACACAUGUCUACGACAACAUACCGUUGGUGCAUCACACCUUGCCCUUACGGACACCCUUGUCUUCUUGGUCUGUGGCAGCAGUGGGCCUACGUCGUCGUCAUCCUCAGGUUCCGUGGCGCCGACGUUCCUCGACUUCUUCUGCGUGUUGCUUGGCAGCCAUUGCCGGUCUGCUGCCUCCGUGGUGUCGUCGUCCUUGGCGUCCUCGGAGCUAGCUUCAGGGCUCAAGGUCGUCACAUCGGGCUGGACCUUUCCAGUGUUAUUAGCCGCGCCAUCGUCAUCUUUGCGGGCUGAUGAUGACAGUCCGAGUGACAGGCCUUCUUCUUCUUUAACACCCAUCAUCAAGUAGUCUUCCCUCCAUUUUCCUUCGGCAGCACUGAUGAUGACGCUCUUCUCUUCCUUCUUGUGCGUGCCUGUGCCCGUGCCGAGGCUCAGCGAGACGAAUUCGGACUCCUCGAUGCCGGUGGGUGGCGUGAUGGUCGAGGGCCGGUGGUCAGCAAGCUUCUUCUCCAUGGGUUCUCCUUUUUGAAGAACGUCGUGGAACUGUAAUUGGAGAGACCGGUAGUCCUCUACGAUGCGUGACAGCAUUGUCUUUAGCCUCUUGUUCUCUUCUCUUACCUCACCCAUCUCUGCCCUUGUGGAUGCAAGGUUAUCUUUGUCGACCUGAAGACAUCACAAAUGCACAGCUAUGAGAUCGGUAGCCAUUAAUUCCUUAACCAAGUCACAUACGAUAAUGAACUUCUGAAGGUUAUUGGUAUAAGCACAAUGCCUCUUGACCUUGUUAUGAGCCUUCAAAUUAGUUGAGGUUUGAUUUGAUGCUUCGUCCAUUUCGGACUUUUCCCUUAGGCAAGGGGAGCUUGCCUAGUAAGGCACAAAAAACGGCUGAUCAGAAUAAUGGAUCCGAUAAUAUAAUAAGGUAAAGAAACUAGAAUUAAUCCCCUCAUGUUUAGCCAUGCAUGAAUUGCUUUCAUGCAUGGUUAAUGGAUCAUUGAAUAUAUAUGUUUAUAAUAACAGUUUGGCACCUCUUUUCUUGAACUUGAUUUGUGUGAGGACUUAAACAAAUUGGCAUCCAGGAUACGGUCAUCAUUUCUGAUCUGUAACAGUAACAUGGAAAGUUGUUUUGGUAAGAACAGCAAAGAAAGCCAUGGAUAAAUAUCUGAGGACCGACUGUACAUAUAUGGGGCGGAGACCAUUCCAGUUUAGUUUCUUCACAUGUUUUUUUGUGUUAUUUACAUAUACACCAGACUUUGUGGUUCCUGAUAUUUGGUUGGGCACUUGGUUGAUUUCGACAUCAGAAUUUGCUCUUGAACAUGCCUUCCUCUAAGGCUUAUUCUCAUUCCAUAUGGAUUGGAUGGAUUAAAAAAAUAUAAACUUUUUUACUUGUUAUAGAUUUAAAUUCACUCAAUCCCGUCUAUAUGGAUUGUGAAUUUGUGAUCGAAACAAAACAUGUCGUAAUCGAUCCUAGUUCCAAUCAUAUAUUCAUAUCUAUAUAUUUAUUCUAGGAGAACUGCAAAUCUGAAGGAAGUCCCUUUACAUAUACUGUAGAUGAAGAGCAACAAUAGAAACUCGCUGUGUCCUGAACUCAUCAUACAUAAUCGAUCGAACGAAAACACAACUAAAUGAAACUCUUGAGAAGUAAAUCACAGACAAACAAAACGAGAAAAAUACCAGACCUCGCUUGUUAACUGCUCCUCGUGGCUUCCAGACUGCUGCUGCCCCCUAAACAUCUCUCUCCUCUUUGACAGAAGCUAGCUAAUAACUGCCUAACUUCCCUCUAGCUCAUCCAGUUCUCUCUCUUCAGAUCUCUUUGUUCCUGCAGCGGUCUAUUGCUUAUAAAGAUAGGCCGCUGCUGCACAGCCUCGUGCGUGUCUCUCUCUCUCCUAUUUGGACUUUGGCAUAAAAGAAGUCGUAUCGUAACCCGGUGCUAACCUAUGUUAGGCGGUCAACGUCUGAUAAUGUCAAAUAUCUAUCGCUGCACUCUUCCAUGGCUUCUUUUAUGUGGAUUUCAACGUGUGCAACAUGUUGCUCUUGUUUUUUUUUGGCUGCGUCCAGAGUCCAGACUGCAUGCGUACGGCCAGCUGGACUGGAGGAGCGCGGGCCGGUCCACAGUUAAUGUCCGUAUGAAGCUUCCCAGGAGUCGUCACAUCAGCCGACCAUUAGAAAACUGUCUUAACAUGGAAGAACUUGAUUUUCAAAGUUUCAAACGUUGGACCUUUAAACAAUAGGGUGCUUUAUAGGCAACCGGUAAUUUGGUACCCAUAGGAUAUAUAGUACCCAUAAAGCUAGCCGUCUUUUUUUUGAUAUUUAGCCUUUUUUUGAAAAAGUUUUUUACAAGUAUAUCCUUUUCGGUUUAAAUUCAGAAAAUAGACUCUUACCUCGACACCAUCACUAUUGGCACCGAGGUUACAUGACGCCAAUAUAGAUGACACCGAGGUAUCGCUCCGGAGCGCCGAUGUGGCGCCUACGUGCCAGGAGUC